rnacentral:rRNA from 1 species
GAUGAACGCUGGCGGCGUGCCUAAUGCAUGCAAGUCGAGCGAACAGACGAGGAGCUUGCUCCUCUGACGUUAGCGGCGGACGGGUGAGUAACACGUGGAUAACCUACCUAUAAGACUGGGAUAACUUCGGGAAACCGGAGCUAAUACCGGAUAAUAUAUUGAACCGCAUGGUUCAAUAGUGAAAGCCGGUUUUGCUGUCACUUAUAGAUGGAUCCGCGCCGCAUUAGCUAGUUGGUAAGGUAACGGCUUACCAAGGCAACGAUGCGUAGCCGACCUGAGAGGGUGAUCGGCCACACUGGAACUGAGACACGGUCCAGACUCCUACGGGAGGCAGCAGUAGGGAAUCUUCCGCAAUGGGCGAAAGCUUGACGGAGCAACGCCGCGUGAGUGAUGAAGGUCUUCGGAUCGUAAAACUCUGUUAUUAGGGAAGAACAAAUGUGUAAGUAACUAUGCACGUCUUGACGGUACCUAAUCAGAAAGCCACGGCUAACUACGUG